AAGGUCGGGGUCCCAAGACCCCCCAGCGGAAAAAUGGCCAAGAAACGGGUGGGCUAUAGCCUUGGUGGGGGGCGUGGGCGAAGUUCGUCCGCGGGACUCGGAAUGGCCCCAGACUUGGCGGGCGGCCUCUGUGUGCCAAAAAUAGGCCACGGGCACAGCCGCGCCCAAAAAUCAGCCCCCGAAGGUCAGGGUCCCAAGACCCCCCAGCGGAAAAAUGGCCAAGAAACGCGUGGGCUAUAGCCUUGGUGGGGGGCGUGGGCGAAGUUCGUCCGCGGGACUCGGAAUGGCCCCAGACUUGGCGGGCGGCCUCCGUGUGCCAAAAAUAGGCCACGGGCACAGCCGCGCCCAAAAAUCAGCCCCCGUAGGUCGGGGUCCCAAGACC
rnacentral:lncRNA from 1 species